rnacentral:rRNA from 1 species
UACGUAGGGGGCAAGCGUUAUCCGGAUUUACUGGGUGUAAAGGGAGCGUAGACGGCAUGGCAAGUCAGAUGUGAAAGCCCGGGGCUCAACCCCGGGACUGCAUUUGAAACUGUCAGGCUGGAGUGCAGGAGAGGUAAGCGGAAUUCCUAGUGUAGCGGUGAAAUGCGUAGAUAUUAGGAGGAACACCAGUGGCGAAAGCGGCUUACUGGACUGUAACUGACGUUGAGGCUCGAAAGCGUGGGGAGCAAACAGG